rnacentral:tRNA from 1 species
GCCCGGGUGGUGAAACUGGUAUACACAGCGGACUUAAAAUCCGCCGCUUCUCGAAAGAGGGCAUGCGGGUUCAAACCCCGCCCCGGGCACCA